UACGUAGGGGGCUAGCGUUGUCCGGAAUCAUUGGGCGUAAAGCGCGUGUAGGCGGUUCGGUAAGUCCGCUGUGAAAGUCGGGGGCUCAACCCUCGAAAGCCGGUGGAUACUGUCGGACUAGAGUGCGGAAGAGGCGAGUGGAAUUCCUGGUGUAGCGGUGAAAUGCGCAGAUAUCAGGAGGAACACCGGUGGCGAAGGCGGGUCUCUGGGCCGAUGACUGACGCUGGAGGAGCGAAAGCGUGGGGAGCGAACAGG
rnacentral:rRNA from 1 species